GGGCACAUGGUGUAGUUGGUUAUCACAUCCGCUUAGCAGUUGCUAGUGCGGGGGGUGCUGGGUUCAAUUCCCAGUGUGUCCA